GACGAACGCUGGCGGCGUGCUUAACACAUGCAAGUCGAACGGAAAGGCCCUGCUUGCAGGGUACUCGAGUGGCGAACGGGUGAGUAACACGUGGGUGAUCUGCCCUGCACUUCGGGAUAAGCCUGGGAAACUGGGUCUAGUACCGGAUAGGAGCCAUUUUUAGUGUGAUGGUUGGAAAGUUUUUUCGGUGUAGGAUGAGCUCGCGGCCUAUCAGCUUGUUGGUGGGGUAAUGGCCUACCAAGGCGGCGACGGGUAGCCGGCCUGAGAGGGUGGACGGCCACAUUGGGACUGAGAUACGGCCCAGACUCCUACGGGAGGCAGCAGUGGGGAAGAUUGCACAAUGGGCGCAAGCCUGAUGCAGCGACGCCGCGUGGGGGAUGACGGCCUUCGGGUUGUAAACUCCUUUCGCUAGGGACGAAGCUUUUUGUGACGGUACCUAGAGAAGAAGCACCGGCUAACUACGUG
rnacentral:rRNA from 1 species